UACGUAGGGUGCAAGCGUUAAUCGGAAUUACUGGGCGUAAAGCGUGCGCAGGCGGUUAUGUAAGACAGAUGUGAAAUGCCCGGGCUUAACCUGGGAACUGCAUUUGUGACUGCAUGGCUAGAGUUUGGCAGAGGGGGUAGAAUUCCACGUGUAGCAGUGAAAUGCGUAGAUAUGUGGAGGAACACCGAUGGCGAAGGCAGCCCCCUGGGUCAAGACUGACGCUCAUGCACGAAAGCGUGGGGAGCAA
rnacentral:rRNA from 1 species